UCCGCAUUGGUGUAAUGGUAACAUAGCCGGUUUUCAGAACCAGAGCCCGGGGUUCAAUUCCCCGAUGCGGAA
rnacentral:tRNA from 1 species